AAAUUGAAGAGUUUGAUCAUGGCUCAGAUUGAACGCUGGCGGCAGGCCUAACACAUGCAAGUCGAACGGUAGCACAGAGAGCUUGCUCUCGGGUGACGAGUGGCGGACGGGUGAGUAAUGUCUGGGAAACUGCCUGAUGGAGGGGGAUAACUACUGGAAACGGUAGCUAAUACCGCAUAAUGUCGCAAGACCAAAGAGGGGGACCUUCGGGCCUCUUGCCAUCGGAUGUGCCCAGAUGGGAUUAGCUAGUAGGUGGGGUAAUGGCUCACCUAGGCGACGAUCCCUAGCUGGUCUGAGAGGAUGACCAGCCACACUGGAACUGAGACACGGUCCAGACUCCUACGGGAGGCAGCAGUGGGGAAUAUUGCACAAUGGGCGCAAGCCUGAUGCAGCCAUGCCGCGUGUAUGAAGAAGGCCUUCGGGUUGUAAAGUACUUUCAGCGAGGAGGAAGGCAUUGUGGUUAAUAACCGCAGUGAUUGACGUUACUCGCAGAAGAAGCACCGGCUAACUCCGUGCCAGCAGCCGCGGUAAUACGGAGGGUGCAAGCGUUAAUCGGAAUUACUGGGCGUAAAGCGCACGCAGGCGGUCUGUUAAGUCAGAUGUGAAAUCCCCGGGCUCAACCUGGGAACUGCAUUUGAAACUGGCAGGCUUGAGUCUUGUAGAGGGGGGUAGAAUUCCAGGUGUAGCGGUGAAAUGCGUAGAGAUCUGGAGGAAUACCGGUGGCGAAGGCGGCCCUGGACAAAGACUGACGCUCAGGUGCGAAAGCGUGGGGAGCAAACAGGAUUAGAUACCCUGGUAGUCCACGCCGUAAACGAUGUCGACUUGGAGGUUGUGCCCUUGAGGCGUGGCUUCCGGAGCUAACGCGUUAAGUCGACCGCCUGGGGAGUACGGCCGCAAGGUUAAAACUCAAAUGAAUUGACGGGGGCCCGCACAAGCGGUGGAGCAUGUGGUUUAAUUCGAUGCAACGCGAAGAACCUUACCUACUCUUGACAUCCAGAGAACUUGGCAGAGAUGCCUUGGUGCCUUCGGGAACUCUGAGACAGGUGCUGCAUGGCUGUCGUCAGCUCGUGUUGUGAAAUGUUGGGUUAAGUCCCGCAACGAGCGCAACCCUUAUCCUUUGUUGCCAGCGGCUAGGCCGGGAACUCAAAGGAGACUGCCAGUGAUAAACUGGAGGAAGGUGGGGAUGACGUCAAGUCAUCAUAGCUCUUACGAGUAGGGCUACACACGUGCUACAAUGGCGCAUACAAAGAGAAGCGACCUCGCGAGAGCAAGCGGACCUCAUAAAGUGCGUCGUAGUCCGGAUUGGAGUCUGCAACUCGACUCCAUGAAGUCGGAAUCGCUAGUAAUCGUAGAUCAGAAUGCUACGGUGAAUACGUUCCCGAGCCUUGUACACACCGCCCGUCACACCAUGGGAGUGGGUUGCAAAAGAAGUAGGUAGCUUAACCUUCGGGAGGGCGCUUACCACUUUGUGAUUCAUGACUGGGGUGAAGUCGUAACAAGGUAACCGUAGGGGAACCUGCGGUUGGAUCACCUCCUUA
rnacentral:rRNA from 1 species